rnacentral:tRNA from 2 species
GUUAAGGUGGCAGACCUCGGCCAUUGCAAAAGACCUAAGCCCUUUCUACGGAGGUUCAAAUCCUCCCCUUAACU